rnacentral:rRNA from 1 species
GACGAACGCUGGCGGCGUGCUUAACACAUGCCAGUCGAACGGAAAGGCCCUGCUUUUGUGGGGUGCUCGAGUGGCGAACGGGUGAGUAACACGUGAGUAACCUGCCCUUGACUUUGGGAUAACUUCAGGAAACUGGGGCUAAUACCGGAUAGGAGCUCCUGCUGCAUGGUGGGGGUUGGAAAGUUUCGGCGGUUGGGGAUGGACUCGCGGCUUAUCAGCUUGUUGGUGGGGUAGUGGCUUACCAAGGCUUUGACGGGUAGCCGGCCUGAGAGGGUGACCGGCCACAUUGGGACUGAGAUACGGCCCAGACUGCUACGGGAGGCAGCAGUGGGGAAUAUUGCACAAUGGGCGGAAGCCUGAUGCAGCAACGCCGCGUGCGGGAUGACGGCCUUCGGGUUGUAAACCGCUUUCGCCUGUGACGAAGCGUGAGUGACGGUAAUGGGUAAAGAAGCACCGGCUAACUACGU